rnacentral:rRNA from 1 species
GGUUAAGCGACUAAGCGUACACGGUGGAUGCCCUGGCAGUCAGAGGCGAUGAAGGGCGUGCUAAUCUGCGAUAAGCGCCGGUAAGGUGAUAUGAACCGUUAUAACCGGCGAUACCCGAAUGGGGAAACCCAGUGUGAUUCGUCACACUAUCAUUAACUGAAUCCAUAGGUUAAUGAGGCGAACCGGGGGAACUGAAACAUCUAAGUACCCCGAGGAAAAGAAAUCAACCGAGAUUCCCCCAGUAGCGGCGAGCGAACGGGGAGGAGCCCAGAGCCUGAAUCAGCAUGUGUGUUAGUGGAAGCGUCUGGAAAGGCGCGCGAUACAGGGUGACAGCCCCGUACACAAAAGCGCAUAUGCUGUGAGCUCGAUGAGUAGGGCGGGACACGUGGUAUCCUGUCUGAAUAUGGGGGGACCAUCCUCCAAGGCUAAAUACUCCUGACUGACCGAUAGUGAACCAGUACCGUGAGGGAAAGGCGAAAAGAACCCCGGCGAGGGGAGUGAAAAAGAACCUGAAACCGUGUACGUACAAGCAGUGGGAGCACCCUUUGGGGUGUGACUGCGUACCUUUUGUAUAAUGGGUCAGCGACUUAUAUUCUGUAGCAAGGUUAACCGUAUAGGGGAGCCGAAGGGAAACCGAGUCUUAACCGGGCGUUAAGUUGCAGGGUAUAGACCCGAAACCCGGUGAUCUAGCCAUGGGCAGGUUGAAGGUUGGGUAACACUAACUGGAGGACCGAACCGACUAAUGUUGAAAAAUUAGCGGAUGACCUGUGGCUGGGGGUGAAAGGCCAAUCAAACCGGGAGAUAGCUGGUUCUCCCCGAAAGCUAUUUAGGUAGCGCCUCGUGAAUUCAUCUCCGGGGGUAGAGCACUGUUUCGGCUAGGGGGCCAUCCCGGCUUACCAACCCGAUGCAAACUGCGAAUACCGGAGAAUGUUAUCACGGGAGACACACGGCGGGUGCUAACGUCCGUCGUGAAGAGGGAAACAACCCAGACCGCCAGCUAAGGUCCCAAAGUCAUGGUUAAGUGGGAAACGAUGUGGGAAGGCCCAGACAGCCAGGAUGUUGGCUUAGAAGCAGCCAUCAUUUAAAGAAAGCGUAAUAGCUCACUGGUCGAGUCGGCCUGCGCGGAAGAUGUAACGGGGCUAAACCAUGCACCGAAGCUGCGGCAGCGACACUCAGGUGUUGUUGGGUAGGGGAGCGUUCUGUAAGCCUGCGAAGGUGGCCUGUGAGGGUUGCUGGAGGUAUCAGAAGUGCGAAUGCUGACAUAAGUAACGAUAAAGCGGGUGAAAAGCCCGCUCGCCGGAAGACCAAGGGUUCCUGUCCAACGUUAAUCGGGGCAGGGUGAGUCGACCCCUAAGGCGAGGCCGAAAGGCGUAGUCGAUGGGAAACGGGUUAAUAUUCCCGUACUUGGUGUUACUGCGAAGGGGGGACGGAGAAGGCUAUGUUGGCCGGGCGACGGUUGUCCCGGUUUAAGCGUGUAGGUGUGUGUUCCAGGUAAAUCCGGUUCACUUUAACACUGAGGCGUGAUGACGAGGCACUACGGUGCUGAAGCAACAAAUGCCCUGCUUCCAGGAAAAGCCUCUAAGCAUCAGGUAACAUCAAAUCGUACCCCAAACCGACACAGGUGGUCAGGUAGAGAAUACCAAGGCGCUUGAGAGAACUCGGGUGAAGGAACUAGGCAAAAUGGUGCCGUAACUUCGGGAGAAGGCACGCUGACACGUAGGUAAAGUGAUUUACUCAUGGAGCUGAAGUCAGUCGAAGAUACCAGCUGGCUGCAACUGUUUAUUAAAAACACAGCACUGUGCAAACACGAAAGUGGACGUAUACGGUGUGACGCCUGCCCGGUGCCGGAAGGUUAAUUGAUGGGGUCAGCGCAAGCGAAGCUCCUGAUCGAAGCCCCGGUAAACGGCGGCCGUAACUAUAACGGUCCUAAGGUAGCGAAAUUCCUUGUCGGGUAAGUUCCGACCUGCACGAAUGGCGUAAUGAUGGCCAGGCUGUCUCCACCCGAGACUCAGUGAAAUUGAACUCGCUGUGAAGAUGCAGUGUACCCGCGGCAAGACGGAAAGACCCCGUGAACCUUUACUAUAGCUUGACACUGAACAUUGAGCCUUGAUGUGUAGGAUAGGUGGGAGGCUUUGAAGUGUGG